AACCUGUAACGAUUAGCGUGCAGAUGUUUGGACAAUUGCUGAAGAUUGCAGAAACCCCUUGGUCUGUAAUGCCCAUGCAAGAACCAAGGUUUAGAAAUAUACAAAUAUAUGGUUAAAAAUAUAUACAAACAGAAGUUGCAAUGAUACAGCUAGUCCAUCAGUAACCAUAUGUUUGUUUGCAGAGGAACUAAAGAAUACGAAAGAGGUUAUUAACAUCAGCAAUCAACAAAAAAUAAUAAUAAAAAAUAAAUGAUCUGAAAAUAUUAACAGUUGAGAAUAAUUCUCUAUUUUAUAGAGAUAGACAUCAUUCAAACAUUUGGAGACCACUAUGCUGAUUAUGAACACCAACAAUAUUGCAAAUGAUCUUUUUUGCAAGAACUAAAAUGUUAUAAACUAAAUGAAAUGAACUACCUAAAGGACAAUAGCAAACCUAAGAAAUUAACACAAAAGAUACUUAGUUGUCCUUGGAUGUUUACUGAUUACUCAACAUGGCGAAAGCACCAGCAGUAACAAAAAAAGUAUACAUCACAAGUCACAAGAAGAUUAUGUGAAGGAAAACAGAAAAUUGCUUUAAAGUAAACAUAAGUGUGCCGGCAAAAAAAUAUAAAUAAACAAACAGCACAGAUCCUUUGAAUGUAUCACAGAAGGUCCUUUUCUCCCUUUACCUUGCAAUUGUCUGCAUUUGAUUGGAAUUAACUGAUGCCGUACAAGACCCUGAGACUGGUGGCCUUGAGGUCAUGUUAUC
rnacentral:lncRNA from 1 species